AUCCAUCUGAAGAGUCCCAAAUAGGAUGAAACGUACGUCAUGGAU
rnacentral:hammerhead_ribozyme from 1 species